AUGCCCGAUUAUAUCAAUGAACCCUUAGAAAUCACGGUUAUGCCUCCACCAUUCUACAAGCCUAACGACAAGCCGAAAUCCCCAGAAAUCCAUUUUGGUUUGCAUGAAGUAUGGAAUAAGAAGUGGAAGGGAGGGUUGACGAUUCGUCACGCCUACAUUGAGAAGGCCGAACCAGCUGAUCCCAAAAAUGAAGAGUCCUCCUCUCAGCCCACCAUACCAAAAGAAUGAGAUUUCAUUGGAGGGUUCCUUAGGGUUGUGGGAAAAUGUUAAGGUCCAUCAUAUACUUAGUUUUAUUAUUGUUUAAGCUAAAAGACGGUUUACUAUAUAUAUAUAUAUCAUAUUAGACUCCUUAUUAUACACA